rnacentral:rRNA from 1 species
GAUGAACGCUGGCGGCGUGCCUAACACAUGCAAGUCGAGCGAACACACGAGGAGCUUGCUCUGCUGACGUUGGCGGCGGUCGGGUGAGUAACACGUGGAUGACAUACCUCUAUGACUGGGGGAAUUACGGGGGACACGAGCUAAUACCGGAUAAUAUAUUGAACCGCAUGGUGCAAUAGUGAAAGACGGUUUUGCUGUCAGUUAUAGCCGGAUCCGGGCAGCAUUAGCUAGUUGGUAAGGUAGCGGCAUAGCAAGGCAACGACGCGUAGCCGACCUGAGAGAGUGAUCGGCCACACGGGAACUGAGACACGGUCCAGACCCCUACGGGAGGCAGCAGUAGGGAAUCUUCCGCAAUGGGGGAAAGCGUGACGUAGCAACACCGCGUGAGUGAUGAAGGUCUUCGGAUCGUAAAGCUCUGUUAUCAGGAAAGAACAAAUGUGUAAGUAUCCAUGCACGUAUUGACGGUACCUAAAGAGAAAGCCACGGCUAACUUCGUG